rnacentral:lncRNA from 1 species
CUCGACAUUUCGUAGUUGGUGAGUAGUAAACUAGACAAAUUCUUCGAACAUAAUAAUUGAUCGGACACACAAUUAACAUGAUGUUUGUAAAAAAUAUAGGAAGACACAUAAUGGUCACUACAAUUUGAAAAUUGAAAUUUAACCCUAACAGUAUUGAUUUCAAUAUACUUGCAAAAACAGUAUAUGUCAAAUUCAACGAAAAUCUAACACAAUUUAUCUCAUUUUGGGAUGGCCUAGUAAACAUUUUUCAUUGAAACAUGAAAUCUCACUGAAAACGUCAUUUACAAUUUAAAAUUAACUCAAUCAUAUAGUUAACGAAAUGGGAAUAAAUUGCUGGAAUAAAUGCAUAUACAUAUAUAUGGACUAGAUACUAGAUGAAAUCAACAAUAAAUGUACAAAUCAACAAUAAAUGUACAAUGUUAUCCAAACUAAAUAAUAAAAUGUGAAUGCAAGUACAUCACAAAUAUCAAUAGGAAUGUAUGUGUGCAAUUGAUUUUCCAACAAAAGGAAUUUGAAAUUUAUCUGCAAAAAUGGUAACGUGAAGAAAUAAGAUGAUGAUAUAUCGUACAUUUAAUAUCUAAUACAUGAAGAAGAGCAGUUGAAUCAAACGAGGCAUAUGAACAAAAUUGUCAAGAAAAAGUAAGUAAUAUCGAUAAUUUUAUAAUUUUAACUGUAAAAAAAUGAUAGUUAAUCUUGAUGGAUGGAUUUCAUAACUAUAGAGAUUGACGGUUUAUCAUGACCUAUGAAUUCUAUAACAAAUAAUGGGAAGUCUCUAUAGCAUUAACAAAGCAUCACCAAAAUAGGAUAACCAAACUCUUUCAAUAAUUAAUAAAAAUAAAUAACACCUACAACAUGUAAAUGGAAUCUCAAAUCCAAACUUUCUACUGCAGCAAGUGCAAUUAAAACCAAGCUUAUUGUUUCAUUUCUACAACCCUAAUAGCAAAAAGUACUCCGCCUCAAAAUUAAUGAUUAAAGAAAAUGUCUAUCAAAAACAUAUUUUUAGCACAAAUCAACAAGUAAUCCAUGAGUAUUGCAAAAUAUGUUACAAAAAUAUUGCAAAAUAUGAGAAAUAGUCACUUCUAGUAAAAUUCGAGAGAUAUUGCAAAAUACAGGGAAUGUACUAGACUUAUAGUUAUACUUCAUUACCGGCAUCACUGACAGGAAAUUAAAUCUGAAACUUUAAGGACGAGAGUUGCGUGGAAGAAGAAAUUGUCCAGAAGAAAAUCAAUGUUCUAAUUACAGAUUUACGGUCUAAGUUCAUCUAAACUUCCUUCCAAAAAUGGGAAAAAUUGCCGAAAAUGAUUUUGUGAAGAAGAAAAUCGUGGGCUGAAAAAAUUGCCAGAAGUAAUUUUUGCGAAGAAGAAAAUGAAAGGGGGAAGCAGUAUGGGUUAACGUUUGAGUUCUUGGGGUUAGGUUUAGA